CCUGCACUCUUUCCUUCUCCAAAAAUCGUGUGCACCUUGUGAGCAAGAGAAGCUUGGCAACAUGUUUUCUAAUCAUUUUCUUCCAUAAAUGUCUUCACAAAAAUUCAAGCUAGUAACCUAAGGAACCUAACCUACCAACUUGUUCAUGCUUAGGAGCUUUAUAUGAUGAGUUCUUCCUCCAUAUGUCCAGCAACCAGCAGCUGCCCUCUUGGUUAAAUAAUGUGUUUUCAUGUCCUUUUGAUGAGAUGUUGAUGAAUUAGUCUCCUAGAAGCAUUAAAAAGUUGCCUCCCACGGACGUGAUCCUUGAGGAUUGAUCUUGAUGGAUUGCCUUUGGUCCUUGACCAAAAGGAUUUGGGCAUUUUUGAGUGGACGAAGUUACGAUAAAACUUGCAUUGGAGCUACCUAGCUUGGGAGCUUCAAUAAGGUUAUAGUGAGUAUGGAGGACCUUCGGGCAAGAGGCCUGCUCAGUGGAGGAGUUGGAUCAUGAUGUGCAUAUGGAGAGCAUGGCAUUUUGGAGGAGUUUAUUUGAUGCACAUAGCAUUACAUUUAGCAUUUUGGGCUUAGAUCAUGAACAUAUUGCAUGUUGAGAUUUCCAUGCUUUUGUAGUGUUCAUAACUAGAUUCUAAGUCUAUGUAGUUGAUGUAUAUUGAUGCCUCUUGUUUUCUUUGACAUUUUGGCUAGCAUGGGACUUGUCCAUGGCCACACAUUAUGAUUUGAGGCACUCAGAGAUUAAUGUUGUAAA